rnacentral:tRNA from 1 species
AGAGAUGUAGUCUAAUUACCUUAAGACAUUUAGCUUACAACUAAAAAAUGUAAACACCAUUAAAA